CGCGGGGGUGGUACUGCUGCAUCCGGGUGUCUGGAGGCCGUGGUCGUUUUGUUUUCUUGGCUAAAAUCGGGGUAGUGAGGCGAGCCGGCGCGGCGCGACACCGGGCUCCGGAACCACUGCACGACGGGGCUGGACUGACCUGAAAAAAAUGUCUGGAUUUCUAGAGGGCUUGAGAUGCUCAGAAUGCAUUGACUGGGGGGAAAAGCGCAAUACUAUUGCUUCCAUUGCUGCUGGUGUACUAUUUUUUACAGGCUGGUGGAUUAUCAUAGAUGCAGCUGUUAUUUAUCCCACCAUGAAGGAUUUCAACCACUCAUACCAUGCCUGUGGUGUUAUAGCAACCAUAGCCUUCCUAAUGU
rnacentral:lncRNA from 1 species